rnacentral:misc_RNA from 1 species
AUCAUCGUACUUCCAUCCUCCAAGCACGCUACACACACAUGCACUGGUCUUCAUUGCACCAGCUUCACAGGCCAACGAUAUCAUCACUCACUGCUCUAGUUGAUUGAGUCAUCCCGCUCCCAGCAUCGACUGCCCACAUCUCUGUCUCCUCCCCUCUGCUCUGGCAGCGCCCCGUAGGUCUCUUGCCAUGCUGCUGAGCCGACGCUGGCACCAGGCCAGUGCUGCGCGUGGCAGCAGGGCCCCCGUCGUCUCCUUCACGGCUGCGGCGCUUACUAAAACGCUGGUGGCCGAUCCGCCGCCGCUGCCGCCGAUGAAGGGCGUCGCCUUUGGCACCCUCUUUACGCCGCACAUGGUGAUAAUCGACUUCAACGACGGCAGGUGGGGUGCGCCGGCGAUCGUACCUUUCGCCAACUUUUCGCUGCCGCCGCAGACGUCGUGCCUGCACUACGCGACACAGUGCUUCGAGGGAAUGAAAGUGUACGCGGACAUUGCCGACAUCACGAGGGCUGCGAGGGGUGAGAAGCUGGAGAAGCAGAGCCUGCGCCUGUUCCGCCCUGACCGGAACGUUGCGCGCCUGCGCCACAGCAUGCGCUCUCUGUGCUUCCCGGACUUUGACGAGGCGGAGAUGCUGAAGGUGAUCAUGGAGUUCGUGAGGACGGAGAAGGAUUACGUGCCUAAGGAGCACGGCUACUCGCUGUACCUGCGUCCGGCUGCUAUCGGCACCGCAGAUAGCCUCGGCGCCACUCCCUCGAGGUCGGUGCAUCUCUUCGUGAUUGCUUCGCCCGUGGGGCCGUACUACCUGCCGCCGGAGGACCAGUCGGGUGCGAUGGCCAUCAAGCCCGUGACGCUGCUUGCGGAGGAUAAGCGCAAGCGCGCGUGGCCCGGUGGCACUGGCGGCAGCAAGCUGGGUGCCAACUACGCUGGGCCGCUGCUGGUUCAGGAGGAGGCGCAGGCUCUCGGCUACAACCAGGUGCUGUGGCUCGGCUCCAAGGAUGAGGUGCAGGAGGCCGGAUUCAUGAACUUCUGCACGCUGUGGAAGACGAAGGAGGGCAAGACAGAGCUGGUCACCGCGCCGCUGGACGGGACGAUCCUGCCCGGCGUGACGCGCGACUCGAUCCUGGCGCUUGCACGGUCGUGGGGCGAGUUCGAGGUGUCGGAGCGCCCGUACUACAUGUCUGAGCUGGCGGAGGCGCUGCAGGAGGGGCGCGUGAUGGAGUGCUUCGGAUGCGGCACGGCUGCCAUCGUGUCUUCCGUGAGCAUGAUUGCGUAUCGCGGCAAGGAAUACAGCGUGCCGCUCUCGGAGCCGAGCUACGCGCGCCGGUUCCUGAACGAGAUCAUGGAUAUCCAGUACGGCAAGACGCCGAGCCCGUGGUCAGUGAAGGUUGAGGCUUGAAGCGGGGACGAUGCUCUUGGUCGCUCGCACCGAGGACGCCCAGGCGGGUGUGGCGGCGCUUUUCGGGACACGAAGGCUCGGUGAGUAGCGCAGCGACUGCGCGGAAGACGACGGGCAGGCAGCGCAGACGCGCGAUAACUUUGGCGGCACGUACUCCGCCACACACGCACACUCGCGUACGGCAGUGGGAGAGGCACGUAUAUGUUGCACCCUCUUUUCGGAGGGUAGAGAUGGGCGCGGGUUCUCGGUGCCCAUCCAUGUUUUCUUUUUCGAAACCCUGGGUGUGCGUGCGCGUCUCACCGUACGACGCCAUCCGUGUCUCUAUGUCUCUCUCCUGCUGUUUUUUUUUUUUGGCGUGGGCCAUCGCCCAUGAACCCCAUGCCUCCCCCAG